CACGCCUGUAAUCCCAGCACUUUGGGAGGCCGAGGCGGGCGGAUACCCUAAGGUCAGGAGUUCGAGACCAGCCUGGCUAACAUGGUGAAACCCCGUGUCUACUAAAAAUACAGAAAAUUAGCCGGGUGUGGUGGCCGGCGCCUGUAAUCCCAGCUACUCGGGAGGCUGAGGCGGGAGAAUCGCUUGAACCCGGGAGGCGGAGGUUGCAGUGAGCCGAGAUCGUGCUAUUGCACUCCAGCUUGUGCAACAAGAGCG
rnacentral:lncRNA from 1 species